GACAAGGUCGUGUUUUUGCAGGGAACGUGUGCUAUGCUCUGAUGUGGUCACACACUCAGGCAUUGUCGCCCAGGGUGAGGUCCUCCCACAGUGCUGGGGGGAGCCUCUGGCUGCCUGUAAGGCCUAAGCAGGGCACUGGGAGAUGUGGUGAUGACAACAGAGCAUGCAGGCACAGGCACCCUGUGUGGCGGAGGAUGCAGGAGACAAGGCGCAGGUGGGAGACGUGCCGUUGGGCAGGAGAGCCGGGCGGCACCCACAGGGCACAGAGGGUUCACGGGCUGCGUCUGCCUGCUCCCUGCUGGGGGCCCCAGGAGGAAAACACUGCAGAGGCGGGGUCAGCUGGAGACCCAACCCCGCGCGUUCCUGUUUGGUGUGGAUGCUGCGUUUGCAGCCAGCGGGAUCAGCACGGGGGUGGAGCAGAGGCUGGUGCUUCGCCGUCCUGGGCCGGGUACAGGCGGAGCGCCAGGCCUCAUCUCGGGGUGCUGGUGGUUGGCUCAGUCAGCAGCCAGGGCCUGCGGGGUGUGAGAGCUCAGAGCCACAGAUGGCUCCUGGAUGCACGCCACACGUGCCUGGCGGCCAGCGCUGCGCUGAGAGCUGCUCCCGACAGAAGUGUUCAAGGGAAGGCUGACAUGCGAUCAGUGUAGUGGUGUUUAUGUGAGUGGCAGAUGCACAGCCCAGGGCGCCAGUGUCGUCCUGACUGCCCCGCCCCACCGCGGUCGGGGUACCCAGAGAGGAGAAAGCGGCUGCGAACCCAGACAGGCGCGUGCCGACUAUAUGCAUGCGCUGUCAGUUGGCGGCCUCUGAUUGGCCGACACUCAGUUCUCUGUUGCCAGGAGACACUCUAGAGUUAGUCUGCACACUAAGUUAGGUUGCAGUUCGCGGUAGCCAAAGGCCAAGACUGGUGGAACUGUACCCUCCAAGUAUGGGAACAGACGUAGGACAAACUUAUCAACGUCGCAAUCAGGCACUGACGUCAGAGAGGGGACGAGGGGGAGCAUUUGGAAGGAGAAAGGGGGUUUCCCUUCCAGGCCCCUCUGCGCUUCAUGCAGCAGCUGUUUCUUCUGUGUCGGUCCACUCCAGCCUAUGAGAGAGCAAGCAAGGGCCACCUUCCCAGGGACUUCUGACGGGUUCCCUCCUUGGAACCCCGUGCCCUCCACCAGGCUUCCCUGACCCGGGCUGCGGCAGAGCCGGGAGGGCUGGCAGGGAGGAGAGCUGGAAUUUCUGCCAGCCUCGCGUUGUAACUUCUCUCUCGGCCCUCAGCCUGGGCCGGCACCGUGAACUCCCCAGAGAGCUUCACGCGUGCCAAGACUCCACCCUGUCUUGCUUACUCAGUGAAGGCACCACCCCUACCUGACAGAAGGGGGCGGGGCCUUCAUUUGCACUUGACCGCACGUGGGGGUCUUUUCAGAUCCCCUCGCAUCUCUCCACAGGCAGCUCCGAGGCCCACUCGGGACGGUUAUCUCUCCACGCUCACGUGCGAAUGCGUGGUCAUCGUCUCUCUCUUAAAUACAGCCUGCUCUCACUUAGGCACUACACUUGAUGCCUCUGCUUGGAAUUCUUAUCUCUGUGCAGCAGCUGGACCUGGAACUGGGAGCCAAAGCUGGGGUCCAGGAACUCAGUCCCAGUUCUCACAGAGGCGGUAGGAACCCAUCGACACUGCUGGAAUCAGGAGCCGGAGCUGAGAAUGGAAACCAGGCGCUCCGAGGCAGAGAGCUGGAUUGGAAGUGGGACAGCUGGGACACCAUCCAGUGCCCAUAUGGGAUGCUGGCAUCGCAGGGAAAUGUUCGUUUGGUGUAUUCAGAGCUGAGAACUAUGCUAAACACUAGAAACACAAUUGUAAAUAAUAAAGAAAAAUCCCACCAGCGUCCAAACUUCAUGCUUCAGACAUUCCAGUCAUGGGAACAAAGAAUAAUCAAGCAGGUAAAUACCCACUAAUUUAAAAGAAUUCUGAUCUAUCAUCUAUCUAUCUAUCUAUCUACCUACCUACCUACCUACCUUCAUCUCUAAUCUAUCAAUCUACCUAUCGAGUUGUCAUAUCUAUUUCUAUCAUCUAUCAUUCAUCAAUCUAUUUACCUAUCAUCUCUGAAUCUGCCAUUCCAUCAUCUAUCUGUAUCUAUUUACAUAUCAAUCAUCAAUCAAUCAAUCAAUCAAUCUCCUGUUUUUCUUUUUCUGGAGAACACUAAUAUGGAUAUCAAUAUUUUUAUGUAAUUUUAAUACAGUUUUGUUAUUAAACAAAAUAAUCUUGGACUUCCCAUCCCCAUCUAUAUGCUUCUGUCAUGUAAUUUAAUCUAUUCUCACUUAUAAUAAUUUUUGAUAAAUUUGGUCUCAUUCAUGACAUUUUCCUAGAUGUUUUUUAUGAAUCAUUCUUUAGUUUUCAACAUUGCUUUGCCUUUCUGCUGGGUUUUGUAUUGGGGCAUGUUUUUGUUAUUUAAAAGAUAUUUCUUUAAAAGGCAGAAUGACAGACAGAGGGAGAAACAUGGAGAAAGUAUGCGUGGCGGGGUGGGGGGGUUCUCCGUCUACUUUGUUGACUCUCCAAAUGGCUGAAAUGACCCAGGCGAGGCCAGGCUGAAGCCAGGAUCCUGGAACUUCAUUUGGGUCACCAAAGUGUUUGGGGGCAUCCUCAGGUGCCUUGAGCCAAGGAGAAAGCCAGUCAAGGUCAAGGUGAGUGCAGUUGGCAUCCACUGCAUCCUAUUCUAUUUCAGGUGCAACAAGCAUUCUAGCAGUUUAUUAAUAGAGUUUUUUUUAAUGACUCAGAGUGAAUUCUGGCCCGCCAUGAGAGCCUGCUCUGUGGGAGAGCCUAGCAUAGCCUGCCUUUCUGGAUUGCUGGUCACACAAUUGGACCAUUCACCCUGUUCCGGGCACUCCUGUACUUACUUCCUCCUCUCAGGAUUAAACAAUCCAUUUCUCAGGGCUUUGGUUUUAUGUGCCGUUGAUCUACGAUUCCAUUUCUCUAACUUCUUUCCCACAGUCAAUAGCUUUUUACUACCUGUGACCAAAAACAGCCAACAGCCGGCCAAGGCAGAGUUAAUUUAUUUAGAACAAAGAAACCCAUCUAUGAUGUGACUGGGGGGACAAGUGUUCAACCUGCUUGCUUAGGAAGGCUGUGUGGCCCGGGCAGCUGUUGGACGUUCUGUUCGCUUUUCAGCGAGUUGUUUUUGCCUUCUGUUUCUUAUUACACUGUGGAUCUCUUUACCACACUGACAAUUAAGGAGCCACAUUUCUUCUGCUGGAGUCCACGUGUCUGAAGGCCAUAGGUGGGCACGUGCACAAAUGCCCGUGGAAAAUGGCUUUUUCUGGAAUAUCAGGUUUGGUCCUCAGAGGCCGGAGCACUCCAUGUGGUGAACCACGCGUUUGAAUUCGGCUGUGUUUAAUUAAGGUAAUUUUCCUACUUAGCUCCAGAUGUGGAGAUGAGAUUCAAUUUUUAUUGUGUCUCAAGGAAGAUGUCCCUCCAAGCACGUGUGUCACCGGAAUGGAAUGCAGCCACAGAUCCGCAUGGGACGAGGCUCUGUCUCCUGCAGGAGAUGAGUUCUCCUCGCCUUCUUCCACUCCUGAAUUUUUCCUUUGUUGGAUGUGGUUUGUAAGGUGAAGGAGGGUCCUUAUAUAGCUGGCGGAGGGCAGGUGGUGCGCAGAGAGAAGGUGGUGGAGAGAAAAGAUUCCUGGUGGUGUGUUCUUGCCUCAUACAGCAUCUGUGAACAAAGGUUUUGAUUACCCAGGAAGGUAAAGGCCAAGGAUCCACACUCCUCCCCAGCUCUUUUACAAAGUCGUUAAAUGUUAAGGGGGUGGCCUACAUCUCCUUGCAAGUCUGUGACAGUUAACUUGAUUGGUCAACUUGACCGCCCGAGCGAAGGGAUACCCAGAUAGCAGGUCAAACGUGACUUUCCAGGUGUGUCUGGAAGGAUGUUUCUGGAAGAGACUAGAAUCUGAAUCCACGGACUGAGUGUGAAACAUCCACGCUCACCAAUGCAAGUGGGCCUCGUCCAGUCCACGGAUAUGGCGGAGGAACGGUGAGUUUGCUCCCUCUCCCUCUUUGUGCACCAUUGACUCCACCUCCCUCCCACUGAGGGCCUCAGCACCUUUGACUCUAGGGCCUGCAGGUGUGGACUGGGUCACCCCACUGGCUUUCCUGGGCCUCUGCUGGCAGAUGGCGGACAGUGGGGCUUCUCGGCCUGCAGGAUCCCGAGUCCCUCUGUAAAUCUCUCUGCGUCUCAUUGCUUUUGCGUCUCUGCAAGAUGCUGACUCAUUCACAGGUCCCCAAGAGACGCUGAAAACAGCAACGUCAUCACCAAGUCACAUUGAAAGAGACCUGAUAGCCACGUCACAUGCAUCUGAAUUCCUUCUACAGUGUCCUUGUCAGAGGCGGCCCUACCCCGGGCUUGAAUACGUCCAGGGCAAGGCAGUGCGUCCUGCCCAAAGGCAGGCUCAUUUCACUGCUGGAGGAAUCAAGCUGUGGAAUCAUCCCGCUCACGUUCUCUUGACAAAUUUCUUUCUCUGUGUCUUUCUGCCUUUAGUCCCGCUUCACUUUCUUAGAGCAACCCAAAAUGAGCAGAAGGAUUCCUUCGUAAGGCCACCCAGUGCCCCCCGGGCUGCAGCAUCCACACAGACGCACACCCUUGACCCCGGGAAGACUGCAGUUGAGUGGAGCCUGGGAGAAAACCACAGACAGACCCCCACGGUUAAGGUCACAUCUGCUUCUGCUAUUUUUUAGUGGCUGGUGGAGCACUGGCCCAAAGGAGGAACCCUAGAUGUCUUUGGAAACCCGAGUAGGCACAAUAGCUACGACUGAUGUCCUGUGGUUAUUCUUCUGUCCCCACGUCAAAUCUGGGUCUCUGUUUUUCUCCGGCGAAAGCCUGCACCACCUGCCAGGGUGACCCCAGCUCCAGCUCCCUGCUCUCCCACCUGCCGUGGCUCCCAAGUCUUGCAAGGAUUCCAGCUGCACCCUGGUGGCGUGUCUGGGCGUUGUCUGCUGAGGCCUCCAUGCUCUGUGACCGCAUUCCCAGUCUAGAUGGAGAUCCCAGGAGCCUCUGAACGUUGAACACUUGCACGUGCAUCUCACCACCAUGGAGUUGGUGUGCUCUGGCAGGAAAACUUUAGAGGAAAGCUGUGUCCUUCCCGAUGUGUCAACACAAGGGAAGCCAUACUGUCUGGUCAUCUCACGUUUAAUGCUGUCUACACUGAUGGACCCCGCCUGCUCGUCACGGCCUUGCUCUGCGUUGUCGAGUUCUGCAUCCGUGGAUUCGACCAACUGCGGGUGGGAAACACAUGCGAGCAACUUGCAUCGGCACUGAACACGUGCAGGUGUUUUCAUGCUAGGAUUCCCUACACAGCACAGCACAGCUACGCACAGCGUUUGUGUGGUCAGGUAUUCUGCGUCACCCAGAGACGGAUGGAAGCAAGUGUGCAGGCCGUACGUACGUACGUGCUACGCAUGGUGCAUUUGUGGAUUUUAGAAUCUGAAGGGGCUUCCAGGAUCCGAUUCUCCAUGGAUACCGAGGAGUGGCCAUAAUGGCUGAGCUCGGAAGGCCCACUGCUGCCAACAUCCCUGUCCCUAUGUCACCUGUUCCUCUGCUGCCUGUCUUGGAGGGACCCAGGCCUGGCCCUGCUGCUCCGCCAUGAUCAUAUUGCACUUCAGAGAAGCCUCAGCUUGGGCGUUCGGGGCAUCCACACGGCGUCACCACCACCACCACCAUCGUCCGAAGGCCCCCAAAGGCCCCACGUGGGAGAGUCGUGUGCGAGCCACACGUGAGCGUGGUGGAGGAGCUCUCCCUCGCCUGGCCCGGCGGGUGGGGCCGGCCCGGGCUUUUGUUUGCUGCAGGAAGGCGGCUGUGAGCGGGCCUCGGUGUAACCUGGCUCUCCCUCUCUGUCGAGGGAGAUUUUCACCCGAUGAAUCACGCCUCCCAUGCUUGCUGGAGCCAGAGAUCUUUGGCUCCCAGGCUGUUUACUGCAGCAUGGACUUUGUCCUCACACCCUGUGAAUCGCUGAGACAGGAACACCUGUAAUGAGUGAUGCUGCCUGGAACCCAUGGCCGCUUCGCUAAGUGACUUGGAUUCAGAGCCUGCCCAGUCAGAGGGACGGCGAGGAUCACUCACUGCACCUUGCCCAGCUCCCAGGGUCAGCUGGAGCCUUGCCUGUCCACUCUCGCCCCUGCGACUUGUCCAUUUCAGGGGUCAGCUGGUGUACAAGGUGACAUUGCAGCCAUGUGUGAGACAUGUGACUCGGCUUCGCUUCCUUUUCGGACCUUGGAUGUGGCGCCUUUGGCCUCUCCUUCCCCUUUGUCACGUUGGAAGAACUCGCCAAGACCUCACGGAGCAGCUGCGGAGUUUGUCUGCCGCUCUCACACAAAGGCUGGUCCCGAGCAGCCCCCUGGAGCCCUGGGAGACCUGGCAGUGUCUCAGGGCACAGAGGCCUCCAGGGCACCUGCGGCACCAGAGGAGGAGAUGGGUGAUGCCGUGGGGAAGCGAGGAGACCCAGAAGGCAUGCAGGUGUGCCCUGGCGGAGGCCAGGGUGUGUGCCACUGCCGCAGUGGCGGGCUGAAAGAGAAAGUGCCAUUUGGCGCCGUGGUCACCGUGCCUCUUGGAAAUAAAAUGAAAAGAAAUAAAAAUUGAUAAAAAAGGAAAAAAAAACCUUUCCUAUGACCUGGAGCACCCUUUAAUCCCCAGUGGCCUAUCUGCAGAGCUGGUUGAGUUCACUACCUUGAGAGAUGGAAAAUGUGUGUCUACUGGUGUCCAUGCUGGGUGACUGCUACGAUGUAUCCAUCGACCAUGUCUAUUUUUUUUUUUUUUGUAUUCAAAUCUUCUUUAUUGAAAAGCACUAUUGGAAAUGUCCAGUGAUCAGAUGAGACAGUUUUGGAUACCUAAUAAACAGCAUGGGUACUACAGUGUGUAAUUCGGAAGGAAGUGCUUAGCCCAUCGGGGGAGAUACACACAUCCACAUCACAGUGCCUAAGUUCCGUUCCCGACGCUGGCUCCUGACCCCAGCUUCCCGCCAAUGCCGACCUUGACCCCAGUAACCAGGCUCUUACAACCCACAUGGGAGACCUGUCGGAGUCCCUGCUCCUGGCUUUGGCCCUGGCCCAGCCCCAGCCCCAGCUGUCUGUGGGCAUUUGGAGACAGGACCAGUGAGUGAGAAUGCUCUCUCUCUUUCCUAUCUGCCUUAUCUCUCUGUCUGUCAAAUAAAUAAAGUUUUUUUUAAAAAAUAUACUAUUAUAUUUACUGAGUUCUUGAAUUUUGCUGGGACUGUAGACAGCAUACAAAAACACAUGAGGUGAGGGAUAUGUUAAUUAGCAUCAUUAUAGUCAUCAUCUGACACUGUAUAUGGACAGUCCAGCGAAGCCUCAGGCACUACACCUGCUACACAAUGUUGAUUUGCCAAUUAUACUUCAGUAAAGCUUGGGACACACACGCUACAGGGCAAAAGGAGACAA